GCUGUCAUUGCUUUUAAGCCAGUGUUUGUUUGGUUUUACGGGUUUAACAUCAUGUUUAGCAAUAGUUUGGGUAUUUAGUUGUUAUCUUUCUACGUUGUAAGGUGAACACCUAGGCAUAAUGUCUAGAAUAAGAUGGAAUAUUUUGGAAUUGGCCAACGCGGUUGAUACUCAGGAGUUGAUAUUGAUACUCGCUUGCUAAGGAGCAAUAUAGACCCCUUUCAGGAUAUAUCCUUUGUAAAAAUGUUUCGCCUUGGGAAGGAAACUGUACAGGAGCUAGUGGAGCAGCUCACUCCACUUAUUCCGAGACCACAACGGAAUGAUGGAAUAUUUGCGGAGACGAAGAUUCUGAUAGCCUUAGCAUUUUAUACACCAUCUCAUACCAGACAUUAGUUGGGCAGAGUGCCCUCCACAGAAGACUGUGUCAAGAGCUGUGAGGCAAGUUACAGAGACACUCAAUGCCAAAUUUAACAAAUAUGUUAAAUGGCCCAUCCAGCAUGACCGGAAUGCCAUGAAAGCUAAAUGUUUGCUCCGAGCACAUGCAUUGCAUUACAG